GACUUUUAGGCCACAUAGAGUUAAUUAUCUACUAGUUCGCCGACGGUGGAAGGAUCGUAAGCAGACGUAGCCGCCAUGUUGAACCAGGAUUCACCGGCAAUUUCUUCCAUUCGCAAUUAAGUGCUUUUUAUCUCAAAGUUGGGUGGUGAAACAGUCCAACAGUAGGACAAUUUUCUCCCCGUGACAUCAUGCUUGGAUAUGGAAAGUCAGGCAACGUCGUUGCACAGGCAAGAAGACUGCGUUCCCGAUUGCACUGGAGAUGUCUCUUGCUGCAGCCAGAGAUCUUGAUCACGAGUGACCGUAUUUACGUGUCUACUCGUUUGGGUAGUCUUGUUGAAAUUUCUUGGUAGACAUUCGCCAUACAGCUGUGCCUCCAUUAUCUGCCAAGUCUCUUAGUUUGCCUUGGGAAUAAUGGCGGCCUCAUGAUUCUCGCAUGAGGCACUGUCAAUGUGGACAGAGAAGCUGCAUCACUCGCCAGGCCUAAUCUGCACAAAGGCUGUUAAUUACACUGCCUGUGGGAUUUUAGGUAUCAGAGAUGGCUUUUGAUAUAAAUCUACUGGUAGCAGUGUUUGAGAUUUCAAUAAUAUUCUACACUAUAUUGUAGUCGUCCUUAUUUCAAUACGACGUUCUGAUUACAUUAUAUAUUUUAAAGCACACGUGUAUCUAAGUAACUUUUUUUUAGUUCAUCCCCUUCUAAAAAUACGUUUUUGAGUAUUAAAAAAAAAUUUAAAUGCACAUUGA